rnacentral:misc_RNA from 1 species
UCCCCGUUACCGGGGCAGUCUGAAUAGAAAAAUACAACUAUUCACAAGGGUUGCGCUCGUUGAUGGACUUAACCAAACAUCUCACGACACGAGCUGACGACGGCCAUGCAUCACCUGUCUUAGGGUUCCAAAAGGCACACUCUACUUUCGUAGUGCUUCCCUAGAUGUCAAGCCCUGGUAAGGUUUAUCGUUUAUCAUCGAAUUAAAGAACACGAUCCACCGCUUGUGCGGGUCCCCGUCAAUUCCUUUAUGUUUUAGUCUUGCGACCGUACUCCACAGGCGGGAUACUUAACGCGUUAGCUUCGCUACUGCAGGGGUCGAUACCUCCAACAGCUAGUAUCCAUCGUUUACGGCGUGGACUAC